rnacentral:rRNA from 1 species
UACAGAGGUCUCAAGCGUUGUUCGGAUUCAUUGGGCGUAAAGGGUGCGUAGGCGGCGCGGUAAGUCGGGUGUGAAAUCUCGGAGCUUAACUCCGAAACUGCAUUCGAUACUGCCGUGCUUGAGGACUGGAGAGGAGACUGGAAUUUACGGUGUAGCGGUGAAAUGCGUAGAUAUCGGAAGGAACACCUGUGGCGAAAGCGGCUCACUGGACCAUAACUGACGCUGAGGCACGAAAGCUAGGGGAGCAAACAGG